rnacentral:rRNA from 1 species
AGUGGACGCUGGCGGUAGGCCUAACACAUGCAAGUCGAACGGCAGCACAGUAAGAGCUUGCUCUUACGGGUGGCGAGUGGCGGACGGGUGAGGAAUACAUCGGAAUCUACUUUUUCGUGGGGGAUAACGUAGGGAAACUUACGCUAAUACCGCAUACGACCUACGGGUGAAAGCAGGGGAUCUUCGGACCUUGCGCGAUUGAAUGAGCUGAUGUCGGAUUAGCUAGUUGGCGGGGUAAAGGCCCACCAAGGCGACGAUCCGUAGCUGGUCUGAGAGGAUGAUCAGCCACACUGGAACUGAGACACGGUCCAGACUCCUACGGGAGGCAGCAGUGGGGAAUAUUGGACAAUGGGCGCAAGCCUGAUCCAGCCAUACCGCGUGGGUGAAGAAGGCCUUCGGGUUGUAAAGCCCUUUUGUUGGGAAAGAAAAGCAGCAGGUUAAUACCCCGCUGUUCUGACGGUACCCAAAGAAUAAGCACCGGCUAACUUCGUG